rnacentral:tRNA from 1 species
GCGGGUGUGGUGAAAUUGGUAGACACGCCAGACUUAGGAUCUGGUGCCGUGAGGUGUGGGGGUUCGAGUCCCUCCACCCGCA